rnacentral:rRNA from 1 species
AGAGUUUGAUCCUGGCUCAGGAUGAACGCUGGCGGCGUGCCUAACACAUGCAAGCCGAGCGAGAAAUGUAUUUAUGAAACUUCGGUAGAUUAGAUACAUGGAAAGCGGCGGACGGGUGAGUAACGCGUAGGCAACCUGCCCCUUGCAGAGGGAUAGCCAUUGGAAACGAUGAUUAAAACCUCAUAACGCUGCAUUGUCACAUGAUGGAGCAGCCAAAGAUUUAUCGGCAAGGGAUGGGCCUGCGUCUGAUUAGCUAGUUGGUGGGGUAACGGCCUACCAAGGCGACGAUCAGUAGCCGACCUGAGAGGGUGAUCGGCCACAUUGGAACUGAGACACGGUCCAAACUCCUACGGGAGGCAGCAGUGGGGAAUAUUGCACAAUGGGCGAAAGCCUGAUGCAGCAACGCCGCGUGAAGGAAGAAGGCUUUCGGGUCGUAAACUUCUGUCCUAGGGGAAGAUAAUGACGCAACCCUUGGAGGAAGCCCCGGCUAACUACGUGCCAGCAGCCGCGGUAAUACGUAGGGGGCAAGCGUUAUCCGGAAUUAUUGGGCGUAAAGAGUGCGUAGGUGGUAACUUAAGCGCGGGGUUUAAGGCAAUGGCUUAACCAUUGUUCGCCCCGUGAACUGGGAUACUUGAGUGCAGGAGAGGAAAGCGGAAUUCCUAGUGUAGCGGUGAAAUGCGUAGAUAUUAGGAGGAACACCAGUGGCGAAGGCGGCUUUCUGGACUGAAACUGACACUGAGGCACGAAAGUGUGGGGAGCAAACAGGAUUAGAUACCCUGGUAGUCCACACCGUAAACGAUG